CAGUAGCCGCGGUAAAACAGAGGGUGCGAGCGUUAAUCGGAUUUACUGGGCGUAAAGCGUGCGUAGGCGGCUAAUUGAGUCGGAUGUGAAAUCCCCGAGCUUAACUUGGGAAUUGCAUUCGAUACUGGUUAGCUAGAGUGUGGGAGAGGAUGGUAGAAUUCCAGGUGUAGCGGUGAAAUGCGUAGAGAUCUGGAGGAAUACCGAUGGCGAAGGCAGCCAUCUGGCCUAAUACUGACGCUGAGGUACGAAAGCAUGGGGAGCAAACAGGAUUAGAUACCCCCGUAGUCCCUGUCUCUUAUAA
rnacentral:rRNA from 1 species